rfam:Leishmania braziliensis MHOM/BR/75/M2904 complete genome, chromosome 33
CCGCGGAGGUCACUGCCGGCACCUCCAGCAUGGAGCAGGUGGACUGAGCCGGUGCGGCAGCGCGGCGCACUGGGGGCCCUGCCGAGCGCGCUGCUGUCUGCGUUGCUCGACGUGAGCGCAUUUCGCGUGCGGUGCUGCAUCCUGGCGUGCGGCUGAGCGAGGACUGAAGGAGAGCGAAUUAGGGCUCGGCGUGGAGGAGGAGGUGUCAAGUAGCCCCGUUGCGGAGAGCGUACCAGCCCCAAUCGCCGUACGUCUCGCUGGUGCUCCCCUUCCCCCGCCACUUGACACUCACUACUACCCCCCCUUCCCUUCUCCCCCCCUGCCCGCUCUCUCUCUCUCUCUCUCGCACCCUCUACUGUCUCACUGUCACGCCGGGCGGCGUAUUGGCGCCCCGUUUCUUUCGUUGUUUGCCCCACGCGGCGCGGCCGUUUUUGCCGUCCCUCUCUCUCUUUUUAACGA